CCUACGGGAGGCAGCAGUGGGGAAUAUUGGACAAUGGGGGCAACCCUGAUCCAGCGAUGCCGCGUGAGUGAUGAAGGCCUUAGGGUUGUAAAACUCUUUCAGAUGGGAAGAUAAUGACGGUACCAUCAGAAGAAGCUCCGGCUAACUCCGUGCCAGCAGCCGCGGUAAUACGGAGGGAGCUAGCGUUGUUCGGAAUUACUGGGCGUAAAGCGCGCGUAGGCGGCUUGGCAAGUUGGGGGUGAAAUCCCGGGGCUUAACCUCGGAACUGCCUCCAAAACUGCUAAGCUAGAAUCCUGGAGAGGUGAGUGGAAUUCCUAGUGUAGAGGUGAAAUUCGUAGAUAUUAGGAAGAACACCAGUGGCGAAGGCGACUCACUGGACAGGUAUUGACGCUGAGGUGCGAAAGCGUGGGGAGCGAACAGGAUUAGAUACCCUUGUAGUC
rnacentral:rRNA from 1 species